rnacentral:lncRNA from 1 species
CCUGAUGAAUUCACACAUUCUGCACGGGGAAGAAACUCAGAAGGCUAAGGAACCUCAUGGUCCUUACAAGACUCAUGAGUACCCCUCCCACCCAUUGUAUUAACAGCCAACAAUUGAUGGAAAAGAGAAGACUUUGCAAUGGUGCUGUCUAGUUGUUGCAUAGGAAUUCUAAUGGUUUACCUUUUGUAAGCAAUCAUCUAUGUUGACAUGGGAUUUUUCAAUGAUGCAGCUGUCUGAAUCAGCUAUGUUCCUGUAAGCAAUACUUCACCUGUGCUUCUAUAACUAACCAAGCUAGGCUUGAAUACAAUUGUUUCUUGGGUAUGGCACUAUUGCCUUAUCUGGGGUAAACAAUCAUUUGUUCAUACCUCAUCAUGAAAAGCUACACAAAAUCCAAUACUUCCUAAGCUUCUACAAUCUCAGUGUUUUUUUUUUAAUUAAUAAUCCUGCAAAGACUCUUUUGUCAAGUAAGGUUGUGUAAUUGCAAGUCCUGGUGUCAAAAUCCAGAAUUCCUUCUGAGUAACUAGAACCUUGUUUAGCCACCACAAUAGACCAUCUGUGGCAUGAUAAAAUGAUUUUGAAAAUAUAUUCCAUGACUGUGAAGUAAAUGUCUUCCUGAGAGGAUGACAGUAAACCAGAAGGGCACAGUGUAGAAUUUGCAUUGUGCCAUUUGAGUACCAUUUUCCCUGGAUGAAUGAGUCCCUGGAGGGGUCAUGUGGACCAAUUGAGAAAGAGGAUCUAUGAUGUUGGCACACAUACACUGGUUUAUAGUGGUAGCUCUAUGCUUUUUGCAGAAGAGUUGGUGGAACACUGCAUGAUUGCUGCAUUUUUCAUUUAUGGACUCUUAAAAUAUAAAUAUGAAUGUAUCUUCUUACCAUGUAGGAAACAGAUGCUGUUUUAAAAUCCACACUAUGACUACAAACAACUAAAGCCUGGAACUUGGAAUAGGAGCCAAAGUCUAUCCACCAGGUUCAUUCAUGCAGUCAAAACUCACUUCUAAACGCCUUCUCUGCAGGUUAACAACAACGGUUGUCACAGAAAGCUUUGAAAAAUUUCUUGCAGAUAGAGACAAGAGACAACAAGCACAGCAUUCAUAUUGGAGAGGCCAAUGUUGAGUUAGAGGAGCCUGAUUUCAAUGGCUCCCUUUGAGAAGGACAAAUAUUUUCUUUAUCCUAUGCAUAAGAUGAUGACAGUCUGUGAAUGAUAGGUAAGAGGAAUUGUUGCCCAGAUCUCCUUCACAGCACAACUGAGUUCCCAGCAUGUGGGCACGGCACAUGCUAGAUGGUCACACUCCAAGUGUUCUCCGUUGUAUUGAUAGAUCUGAGUUGGUUCUUCAUUGCUGUGAAAUACAUUAUCAUAAGCAUAGUGACCCAACACAUAUGACUCAUACACAUUAAUGAGUCAUACUAGGGCCUUUUCCUCUGUCUACUUCUUCCACACACUUCCUUCAUGGGUGUUCAUAUCUCUUCACUAUCUCUUGUAACUCAAGCAAAACAGGGCAUGCAUGAUACUGGGUAAAUGGGUAGCACCUACUUCAGGGAUCCACAAGCAGGGUUGCUAAAACUUUACAUUAAGAGAACAAAUUGACCUGAUCCUGGCUUGCAUAAAGGGAAGAGCAUGAUCCUGAGUCAAAAGAAAAUUUCCAGAGAGAAUGGGAUCAUGUCUGUCAGUCUCUGAUUUUAUGGCCAGCUCCUAGGCUUAGCAUCUGGCAUGGUAGUAUGCCUUGAAGGAAAGGGACUGAGCAUAUGCCGGUGAACUGUGGAGCAAUAAACUUGCAAUCACACCACCUCACUUCAGAGCUGGCAGACAUUUACACUGACAAAAGCUCUCAUCAACACAGGCAAACCUUGUCACUCAGCAGAAACAGCAUAAGGUAGCCAGAAGGAACACAGAGGAGUGGUAGGGAAUUUCUGUUUCUUCUUAGCCCUUGUGAGAAUACAAAAUCAAAAACAAAAACAAACAA